rnacentral:tRNA from 27 species
UCCGGUAUAGUGUAACGGCUAACAUACCUCGUUUUCACCGAGGAGCUCGGGGUUCGAUUCCCCGUACCGGAG